rnacentral:rRNA from 1 species
GCAACUGAUCAUCAUGCCGCGUGUGUGAAGAAGGCCUUCGGGUUGUAAAGCACUUUUGUCAGGAACGAAACGGCGGGGCUAAUAUCCUCUGCUAAUGACGGUACCUGAAGAAUAAGCACCGGCUAACUACGUGCCAGCAGCCGCGGUAAUACGUAGGGUGCGAGCGUUAAUCGGAAUUACUGGGCGUAAAGCGUGCGCAGGCGGUUGUGCAAGACAGAUGUGAAAUCCCCGGGCUCAACCUGGGAAUUGCAUUUGUGACUGCACGGCUAGAGUGUGUCAGAGGGGGGUAGAAUUCCACGUGUAGCAGUGAAAUGCGUAGAUAUGUGGAGGAAUACCGAUGGCGAAGGCAGCCCCCUGGGAUAACACUGACGCUCAUGCACGAAAGCGUGGGGAGCAAACAGGAUUAGAUACCCUGGUAGUCCACGCCCUAAACGAUGUCUACUAGUUGUCGGGUCUUAAUUGACUUGGUAACGCAGCUAACGCGUGAAGUAGACCGACUGGGGAGUACGGUCGCAAGAUUAAAACUCAGAGGAAUUGACGGGGACCCGCACAAGCGGUGGAUGAUGUGGAUCAAUUCGAUGCAACGCGAAAAAGCUUACCUACCCUUGACAUGUACGGAACCCUGCUGAGAGGUGGGGGUGCUCGAAAGAAAGCCGUAACACAGGUGCUGCA